UUUCCGUAGGUGAACCUGCGGAAGGAUCAUUAACGAGUUAGGGUCUUCUAGGCCCGACCUCCCAACCCUAUGUUUAUUGAACCUCUGUUGCUUCGGCGGACCCGCCUCACGGCCGCCGGAGGACCGCUGCAAGGCAUCCUCUGGCAAGCGUCCGCCGAUGGCCAACCACUUAAACUCUGAAUGAAUCGUGUCAUAUGUCUAAGUCUAUGAUUAAAUUAAAGCAAAACUUUCAACAACGGAUCUCUUGGUUCUG
rnacentral:misc_RNA from 1 species